rnacentral:pre_miRNA from 1 species
UAUAUACUCCCUCCGUCCGGAAAUAUUUAUCAUUAAAAUGGAUGUACCUAGAACUAAAAUACAUCUAGAUAUAUCCAUUUUAAUGACAAGUAUUUCUGGACGGAGGGAGUAUAUA